CUUCUCUCAGGAUCGCACCUGGAGGGUUUCCAGUACUCUCUCAGUCUCGGCUGUGGGAAGGAGAGUCAAGCAGAGGCACAUCCAUUCCAUUCCUAGCUUGGGCAGUGGCUAGCGAGUGGAAGGCAAUCUGCUACAAGU